rnacentral:rRNA from 1 species
GUCUACAGCCAUACCACCCUGAAGGCACCUAAUCUCAUCUAGUCUCAGAAGCUAAGCAGGAUCAAGCCUGGUUAGUACUUGGAUGGGAAAAAGAUCUUCAGAGAAAACUGCUCAGAGACA